GGUGGCUCACGCCUGUAAUCCCAGCACUUUGGGAGGCCGAGGCAGGCGGAUCACGAGGGCAGGAGAUCAAGACCAUCCUAGCUAACACAGUGAAACCCUGUCUCUACUAAAAAUACAAAAAAAAUUUAGCAGGGUGUGGUGGCAGGCGCCUGUAGUCCCAGCUACUCGGGAGGCUGAGGCAGGAGAAUGGCGUGAACCCGGGAGGCGGAGUUUGCAG
rnacentral:lncRNA from 1 species